rnacentral:rRNA from 1 species
UACGUAGGGUGCGAGCGUUAAUCGGAUUUACUGGGCGUAAAGCGUGCGCAGGCGGCCCGUUAAGACAGGUGUGAAAUCCCUGGGCUCAACCUAGGAAUUGCGCUUGUGACUGGCGGGCUGGAGUACGGUAGAGGGGGGUGGAAUUCCUGGUGUAGCAGUGAAAUGCGUAGAGAUCAGGAGGAACACCGAUGGCGAAGGCAGCCCCCUGGGCCUGUACUGACGCUCAUGCACGAAAGCGUGGGGAGCAAACAGG